rnacentral:tRNA from 1 species
CACUAAGAAGCUAGACAGCAUUAGCCUUUUAAGCUAAAGAGGGGAUACAUUUCCCCUUAGUGAC